CCUGUGAUGUGGAACAUGUUUUGCACAGGCGAUGCUAUGAGAGCAGUUUGGCGCACUUCGGUAUGCAGCGAGUUCCUCGGUCAGGGUUCCCCUUGGAGUUCCUCAGCAGGCACUUGAAGUGGGAGCAGCUUGCCCCAUGGGAUGUGUGCUUGGAGAUCUCGAGCUGUGGUGGAAAGGGGCCUGGAUAGACUCUAGUGGAUCUAGACCUGAUCCUGCAUCGAUGGACUACCACCAAGACCAAUGGUUUGGCAAAUACUCCAGGAUUUUAUCCAGCUUUGUUCCCUCCGUGUCAUCCCUUUAGAGGUUUUCACAGAUCACUGCAAAUGAAGGAUGAACCAUAUGAAAUAUGAGACAGACAACAGAGAGGUGAGCUGGACAUGGCCAGUGAGCAGCCAGCAUGUGGAAACCACAGCCCAGCAGGUGUGGAGUGACUGCUAUCACUGACUUUGGAAGAACUCCUGUUCUAAACUCAGUAUGCAGAAGCAAACCCCAACAGCACACAGAGGCAACAUUCCUGUGUGACACCCCCAUCAUCAAGCCCAGAUGCUCUGGUGGAGCGCAGAUGUCCCACAGAGGUCCAAUCUAAUGCACUGAAGUGACAGAGAAUCUGCUGCAUCCUCAGCAGUGUUAACCAGCAGGUACACGAGCUGCCUGGCAGAGGAGCAGACAGAACUCUCCUGGGACUGACCGCAGUGUCACUUUCCUUGAUGGGUCAUUGAGGUUUGGGUUCUGCCCUCUUCACGCAUCUCCUCUGGCUGCAGGUCAGAGUGUGACUCUACAGGACAGACUAUUUUGGAACAUUUGUAACAGUGAGCACACUGCGCUGCUAGGCACGCAAAGCACGGCCUGACUCUGGUUUGGACCUGACCCUAAAAUCCCCCAGAAUCUAAGUAAACGCUGCACCACGCGUCCCCUUCUGUGUGGCUCUUUUUGAAGGACUCGGAAUGCACACGGGGGACAGCAGCUUUGGCUGCAGCUUCCCCCCAGCUCAAGACUACGGGUGCUCUUUUCAUGCAUGUCUUGCAGACUCAUUUCUUCCCCCAUCUGUUGAUUUUUUUUCUUCAUUAUGUGUUAGCAAUCAAUGACUAUCCCAUGGCACGUUCCUUUGCAGGGCUCUGAACACAGCAUUUCUUGCCAAGGGAGCAUUCCACACGAGUGGCUUCUGCUCACGCUGUCUGUUGCUGCAAGUGGGACUUUCAUGCCAGCCUAACCCUAAUGCGAUGACUAUCACAUUAGCAGCUUUACAUAUUCAUUGAUUUGCAGAAGUGUUUUGUAUUGCCUUAAGCUCCAAAACCUUUGUGACAACGCAUUACAAACAACAGACAAA
rnacentral:lncRNA from 1 species